rnacentral:rRNA from 1 species
UACGUAGGGUGCAAGCGUUAAUCGGAAUUACUGGGCGUAAAGCGUGCGCAGGCGGUUGGGCAAGACAGAUGUGAAAUCCCCGGGCUCAACCUGGGAAUUGCAUUUGUGACUGCACGGCUAGAGUGUGUCAGAGGGGGGUAGAAUUCCACGUGUAGCAGUGAAAUGCGUAGAGAUGUGGAGGAAUACCGAUGGCGAAGGCAGCCCCCUGGGAUAACACUGACGCUCAUGCACGAAAGCGUGGGGAGCAAACAGG